CUCCAGACUCCUACGGGAGGCAGCAGUGGGGAAUAUUGGACAAUGGGGGGAACCCCGAUCCAGCGACGCCGCGUGAGUGAAGAAGUAUUUCGGUAUGUAAAGCUCUAUCAGCAGGGAAGAAAGAAAUGACGGUACCUGACUAAGAAGCCCCGGCUAACUACGUGCCAGCAGCCGCGGUAAUACGUAGGGGGCAAGCGUUAUCCGGAUUUACUGGGUGUAAAGGGAGCGUAGACGGCCAUGCAAGCCUGAUGUGAAAGGUGUGGGCACAACCCGCACACUGCAUUGGGAACUGUAUGGCUAGAGUGUCGGAGGGGCAGGCGGAAUUCCUGGUGUAGCGGUGAAAUGCGUAGAUAUCAGGAGGAACACCGGUGGCGAAGGCGGCCUGCUGGACGACGACUGACGUUGAGGCUCGAGAGCGUGGGGAGCGAACAGGAUUAGAUACCCCCGUAGC
rnacentral:rRNA from 1 species